GGAGCGGUAGUCCAGUCGGCGAGAUGCCGGUCCAUGACGCCGAGGCUCGCAAGUUCGAGUCAUCGGUCCGCUCCGCCA
rnacentral:tRNA from 1 species